rnacentral:rRNA from 1 species
GACAGCAGUCGCGCGGGAAAACGUAGGUGGCAAGCGUUGUCCGGAAUUAUUGGGCGUAAAGGGCUCGCAGGCGGUUUCUUAAGUCUGAUGUGAAAGCCCCCGGCUCAACCGGGGAGGGUCAUUGGAAACUGGGAAACUUGAGUGCAGAAGAGGAGAGUGGAAUUCCACGUGUAGCGGUGAAAUGCGUAGAGAUGUGGAGGAACACCAGUGGCGAAGGCGACUCUCUGGUCUGUAACUGACGCUGAGGAGCGAAAGUGUGGGGAGCGAACAGGAUUAGAUACCCGGGUAGUCCCUGUCUCUUAUACA